UACGUAGGGAGCAAGCGUUGUCCGGAAUCAUUGGGCGUAAAGAGCGUGUAGGCGGACCAGAAAGUCGGUUGUGAAAGUCCAGGGCUCAACCCUGGAAAGCCGGCCGAUACUGCUGGUCUAGAAUCCGGAAGAGGCGAGUGGAAUUCCUGGUGUAGCGGUGAAAUGCGCAGAUAUCAGGAGGAACACCAAUGGCGAAGGCAGCUCGCUGGGACGGUAUUGACGCUGAGACGCGAAAGCGUGGGGAGCAAACAGG
rnacentral:rRNA from 1 species